AGAAUCAACGCUGGCGGCGUGCCUAACACAUGCAAGUCGAACGAGAAAGUGGAGCAAUCCAUGAGUAAAGUGGCGACCGGGUGAGUAACACGUGACUAACCUACCUUCGAGUGGGGGAUAACCUCGGGAAACCGAGGCUAAUACCGCAUAACAUCGUGAGAUCAAAGCAGUAAUGCGCUGGAAGAGGGGGUCGCGGCUGAUUAGCUAGUUGGCGGGGUAAUGGCCCACCAAGGCGAAGAUCGGUAGCC
rnacentral:rRNA from 1 species